UGCCAGCAGCCGCGGUAACACGAACCGGACGAACGUUAUUCGGAAUUACUGGGCUUAAAGGGUGCGUAGGCGGCUCUGCAGGUGGGGUGUGAAAUCCCUCGGCUCAACCGAGGAACUGCGCCCCAAACCGCAGGGCUUGAGGAAGGCAGAGGUGAGCGGAACUCAGGGUGGAGCGGUGAAAUGCGUUGAUAUCCUGGGGAACACCAGUGGCGAAGGCGGCUCACUGGGCCUUUUCUGACGCUGAGGCACGAAAGCCAGGGGAGCGAACGGGAUUAGAUA
rnacentral:rRNA from 1 species